rnacentral:lncRNA from 1 species
UCACAUCCUAUCGGGAUGGGUACAUUGUUACAACAUUGUGGACUUACCGUGCUCCCUUUUUUGAAGGGAGAGGAAUAAGUUUCCCUGAAAGACUUUAGUCCAUCCCAGGAUCGGGAGCCCCCGGGGUGGGGAGAGGACAGCGAGGAGGGACCCUGCUAGGCCUGGGUGGGGACAGGAGACUGGGCCCUGGGGCAGCUGUGCCUAAUGUUCACCAGCAGGCUGGAAGAUGAAGAUUCAGCAGUUGGCCAACAAGGUCCGAGCCUCCUUCGUCUCCAGGAGCCCGGGCAGCUUUCAGGUGCGCCUGUGCAACCGGACGGAGCCCUUCCAUUGCCGUUUGUUUGAGCCCAUCACGGUGGGAUCUCAGGGAGAGGAAGGCGCCAUCCCCCACGUGGACAUCCCCGAGGCUGAGGUCUGCUCCCCAGAUGUCUGCAUCCAGGGCUGGAGGACUGAUGUGAAUUACUCGGCUCCUGCACAGAGGUGUGACAUCAGAUGCAAAAGAUCCCAUAGGAAGAAGCACCAGAGGCCACAUGACUCCCCUAUUGCUGUCCACAAGGCUGAGGGGAGAUUCCUCCACUGCUGCUGGGCUCUGGCUCCUUGGCAGGGGCUCCUUGGCCAUGACUUCCAGGGCUUCUCUGCGUCAGCUCUUGGCAUCUCACCCCAAGACUGUAACCCAGGGCCCAUGGCUGCCUGGGAAGAGCCCCUCCUGCUCCUGCCACCCCAAAGACAUGCGGGCCCUGCAUGA